rnacentral:rRNA from 1 species
CCAGACUCCUACGGGAGGCAGCAGUGGGGAAUAUUGGACAAUGGACCGAGAGUCUGAUCCAGCAAUUCUGUGUGCACGAUGAAGUUUUUCGGAAUGUAAAGUGCUUUCAGUUGGGAAGAAAAAAAUGACGGUACCAACAGAAGAAGUGACGGCUAAAUACGUGCCAGCAGCCGCGGUAAUACGUAUGUCACGAGCGUUAUCCGGAUUUAUUGGGCGUAAAGCGCGUCUAGGUGGUUAUGUAAGUCUGAUGUGAAAAUGCAGGGCUCAACUCUGUAUUGCGUUGGAAACUGAAUAACUAGAGUACUGGAGAGGUAAGCGGAACUACAAGUGUAGAGGUGAAAUUCGUAGAUAUUUGUAGGAAUGCCGAUGGGGAAGCCAGCUUACUGGACAGAUACUGACGCUAAAGCGCGAAAGCGUGGGUAGCAAACAGGAUUAGAUACCCUGGUAGUCCACGCUGUAAACGAUGAUUACUAGGUGUUGGGGGUCGAACCUCAGCGCCCAAGCAAACGCGAUAAGUAAUCCGCCUGGGGAGUACGUACGCAAGUAUGAAACUCAAAGGAAUUGACGGGGGCCCGCACAAG